CUCUGAUUGGCUUCAUUGGUUAGAACAGGGUGCUAAUAACACCAAGAUUGUGGGUUUGAUUCCCUUAUAGGCCA